GGUUAGAAUUCAGCCGUUGGUGCUCGCGACGUGGUUCACACGGCGCAGUUCAACGGGAAGCAGGAGGGUCACGCUGACAACAGCUAACCUAACCUGCGCUGCCCCCGCAACGGUAAGUGGACGAAUCGUCAAGAUUUAGCUCCCAUCAAGGCCACUGAGUGUUCUGGAAAGACGCUUGGGAAGGCGAUGGAGGUUGCAUCCACCAGCCCGGAUACCGGCCAACAAGGUGGUUGCUCGC
rnacentral:ncRNA from 15 species